rnacentral:rRNA from 1 species
UACGGAGGGUGCGAGCGUUGUCCGGAAUCAUUGGGCGUAAAGGGCGCGUAGGUGGCGGGACAAGCGUGCGGUGAAAGCUCGGGGCUCAACCCCGAGUCGGCCGUGCGAACUGUUUUGCUGGAGCACUGUAGAGGCAGGCGGAAUUCCGGGGUGUAGCGGUGGAAUGCGUAGAGAUCCGGAAGAACACCGGUGGCGAAGGCGGCCUGCUGGGCAGUUGCUGACACUGAGGCGCGACAGCGUGGGGAGCAAACAGG